rnacentral:tRNA from 3 species
GGCAAGGUGGCCGAGCGGUCUAAGGCGCACGGUUCAGGUCCGUGUCAUGAAAAUGGCGUGGGUUCGAAUCCCACCCUUGUCA